rnacentral:tRNA from 1 species
GCUAACGUAGCUUAUAUAAAGCAGGUCAUUGAAAAUGACAAGAAAUACCCUCUCACGGUUUCGAUGGCA